AGUGAACGCUGGCGGUAGGCCUAACACAUGCAAGUCGAACGGCAGCACAGUAAGAGCUUGCUCUUACGGGUGGCGAGUGGCGGACGGGUGAGGAAUACAUCGGAAUCUACUUUUUCGUGGGGGAUCACGUAGGGAAACUUACGCUCAUACCGCAUACGACCUACCGGUGAAAGCAGUGGAUCUUCGGACCUUGCGCGGUUGAAUGAGCCGAGGUCGGAUUAGCUAGUUGGCGGGGUAAAGGCCCACCAGGGCGACGAUCCGUAGCUGGUCUGAGAGGAUGAUCGGCCACAUGAGAACGGGGACACGGACCAGACUCCUACGGGAGGCAGCAGUGGGGUAUAUUGGACAAUGGGCGCAAGCCUGAUCCAGCCAUACCGCGUGGGUGAAAGAGGCCUUCGGGUUGUAAAGCCCUUUUGUGGGGAAAGAAAAGCAGCAGGUUAAUACCCCGCUGUUCUGACGGUACCCAAAGAAUAAGCACCGGCUAACUUCGUG
rnacentral:rRNA from 1 species